rnacentral:rRNA from 1 species
CCUACGGGAGGCAGCAGUGAGGAAUAUUGGUCAAUGGGCGGAAGCCUGAACCAGCCAAGUCGCGUGAGGGAUUAAGGCCCUGCGGGUCGUAAACCUCUUUUGCCGGGGAGCAGAGGUCCGGACGUGUCCGGGCCGGGAGAGUACCCGUAGAAAAAGCAUCGGCUAACUCCGUGCCAGCAGCCGCGGUAAUACGGAGGAGUCGAGCGUUAUCCGGAUUUAUUGGGUAUAAAGGGUGCGUAGGCGGGCAUUUAAGCCGGCGGUCAAAUGUCGGUGCUCAACCCCGGCCUGCCGUCGGAACUGGGUGCCUUGAGUGGGCGAGAAGUAUGCGGAAUGCGUGGUGUAGCGGUGAAAUGCAUAGAUAUCACGCAGAACCCCGAUUGCGAAGGCAGCAUACCGGCGCCCUACUGACGCUGAGGCACGAAAGUGCGGGUAUCGAACAGGAUUAGAUACCCGAGUAGUC